rnacentral:snoRNA from 1 species
UCACAGUGAUGAAUGGUCCAAACAUUCGCGGUUUCCACCAGAAUUCCAGAUGUGUUGGCAACUAGUUUUCCUUCCUUGGAUGUCUGAGUGA